GUAGAUUCACUAGAAAAUAACCAGUACAGAGAUGGCUUACAACAAACAUAUAUCAGAAAAAGUUUAGAAACUCAAGAUAUACCAAGCCCAAAAUGAGCAUAAACCUAGCACAAACAAAACCAUCUGAAGCCUUGCAGAAGAACAAGGCCAAAAGCCCAGAUAAAACAAGACCUAGGGUCGGUGGUCUCGAUCUGUAGAACUUGACGUGUACAUUGUGAGGAUGGUAACGACUAAAGCACUUCCCACGCCAUCCACGCCGUUGAAGUCUAGGAUGAUGAUGAAUCGCACAAGCAGAGAAGCCAUCCCACUCGAGACAAAAGGAAGCCAACAACGCACAGUCCAAGCAAGGAAGCACCUCCCCAUGCAAGCUUUGCCCAGUGAGGAUUUCUACACAGCCAAAGCAUUACCUCAAUUUCAGAGGCUUCAUGGAGAGGCAAUGCAGGACUCUUCAUAAGGGACUGGACACCACAAAGGCGUUGGUAACAUCCCCCAAAGAACACAUGAAGCCAAAACUGGCUCUCAAGAAACGCCCAACUGCAAAAACAAGAAUUAUUACCACCAUUAACAGCAACAAUCUAGCUACACAGCAGAUCAAAGAACCCUCUCUUUGUAG
rnacentral:misc_RNA from 1 species